CAAUAUUCAACAUUGUCAACUAACUGGUUAUCCCCAUGCCCCGUAUGGUAUGAACGCCAAAAAUAUCAUCCCUCAAUACUCCGUCCGAUAUACGGGUGAAUUGGGUCGUCUCCAUACUCCAUCUGGUAUGAGCGCCAAAAAUACUAAUCUUCGAUAUCUCGUCCGGUAUGAAGUAAUAUUUACGAUAGGGUUCUCUAUGUACCCGAUCUGUCCACCAUCUUCCAAGAUAUCCAGUUAGGCUACCAUUCAUUACUUCACAUGACCAAUCAAUUUUUCGUUUGUAUAUUAAUUACCAAUUUCAUAAAUCACCCAUAAAUCACGCAAGACGAGCAAUAUAUAUAUUAAGGAAGCACAAUUGAAUAAAUUAACCACUCAAGUAU
rnacentral:lncRNA from 1 species